ensembl:miRNA
UCUCUCUGUAGCCCCAGCUGGCCUGGAACUCACUAUGUAGACCAGGCUGGCCUUGAACUCACAAAGAUUCAUCUGCCUCUGCCUCCCAAGUGCUGGGAUUAAAGGCGUGCACUACCACACCCG